rnacentral:rRNA from 1 species
UACGUAGGGGGCGAGCGUUUGUCCGGAUUUAUUGGGCGUAAAGAGCGUGUAGGCGGCCAGGUAGGUCUGCUGUGAAAACUCGAGGCUCAACCUCGAGACGUCGGCGGAAACCAUCUGGCUAGAGUCCGGAAGAGGAGAGUGGAAUUCCUGGUGUAGCGGUGAAAUGCGCAGAUAUCAGGAAGAACACCCGUGGCGAAGGCGGCUCUCUGGGCCGAUACUGACGCUGAGGAGCGAAAGCGUGGGGAGCGAACAGG